AAUAAAUUUAAAUUUGAAAUGACUUAUACAAUCUUCAAGACUAACAUUAAAUAUACAUAAGCUUCUAUAAUACUUAGACAACACUAUAAAUAAGCCCUCACAAUUUGCAAGAUAGCUACCACUCAGAGUUCAUCAUCAGAAAAAAUGGCUCGAUGUAGAAGAACCAUUCGUGUAUAUUUGCAGCGAUGGUGGUGGAGGAGAAGGCGGAAGACGGUCGAAUGUCAAGGGAAGCUGACUUCGAGACUUUGAGGUGGAGAGACGGAGUAGCCGAUGGCGGAGAGUGAGCUCGAGAAGGCGAUGGCGGAGAGCGAUUUGGAGAAGCCGAUGGCAGAGAUUCAGAGGAGAUCCGGAGAAGGAAGAAAACGGAGAGAUCAAGAUGGAGAUGAAAAUUGCCCUGUGGAAAAUGAAGAAGGCGAAUCGUUUUGAGCGUUUAUACUUAGGCUUAGGGACAGCUAUUCGGGGGCUGGUCUUUAAUAUCAGGUUUGGUUGGGUUUAGAAAUAUUUUUGGGCCUAAAACAAUGUGUAAAUUAUGUAUAUGUUUUGCGUUGAAUCAGAAUAUGAAAUGUAAAUAGGUAAGUGCGUAUAUAAUUUGUGUGUAUAAUGACCUUAAUUAAUAUUUGAGAGAGUUGCUUCUUGGGCA